rnacentral:rRNA from 1 species
AAUGAACGCUGGCGGCAUGCCUAACACAUGCAAGUCGAACGAAGGCUUCGGCCUUAGUGGCGCACGGGUGCGUAACGCGUGGGAAUCUGCCCUUGGGUUCGGAAUAAACGUUAGAAAUGACUGCUAAUACCGGAUGAUGUCGUAAGACCAAAGAUUUAUCGCCAAAGGAUGAGCCCGCGUAGGAUUAGCUAGUUGGCGGGGUAAAGGCCCACCAAGGCGACGAUCCUUAGCUGGUCUGAGAGGAUGAUCAGCCACACUGGGACUGAGACACGGCCCAGACUCCUACGGGAGGCAGCAGUGGGGAAUAUUGGACAAUGGGCGAAAGCCUGAUCCAGCAAUGCCGCGUGAGUGAUGAAGGCCUUAGGGUUGUAAAGCUCUUUUACCCGGGAUGAUAAUGACAGUACCGGGAGAAUAAGCUCCGGCUAACUUCGUGCCAGCAGCCGCCGUAA